GCUUGCUGGGUGGAUUAGUGGCGAACGGGUGAGUAACACGUGAGUAACCUGCCCUUGACUCUGGGAUAAGCGCUGGAAACGGCGUCUAAUACCGGAUACGACCUGCCCCGGCAUCGGGUGUGGGUGGAAAGUUUUUCGGUCAAGGAUGGACUCGCGGCCUAUCAGCUUGUUGGUGAGGUAAUGGCUCACCAAGGCGACGACGGGUAGCCGGCCUGAGAGGGUGACCGGCCACACUGGGACUGAGACACGGCCCAGACUCCUACGGGAGGCAGCAGUGGGGAAUAUUGCACAAUGGGCGCAAGCCUGAUGCAGCAACGCCGCGUGGGGGAUGACGGCCUUCGGGUUGUAAACCUCUUUUAGUAGGGAAGAAGGACUUCGGUUUGACGGUACCUGCAGAAAAAGCACCGGCUAACUACGUGCCAGCAGCCGCGGUAAUACGUAGGGUGCAAGCGUUGUCCGGAAUUAUUGGGCGUAAAGAGCUCGUAGGCGGUUUGUCGCGUCUGCUGUGAAAACCCGAGGCUCAACCUCGGGCCUGCAGUGGGUACGGGCAGACUAGAGUGCGGUAGGGGAGAAUGGAAUUCCUGGUGUAGCGGUGGAAUGCGCAGAUAUCAGGAGGAACACCGAUGGCGAAGGCAGUUCUCUGGGCCGUAACUGACGCUGAGGAGCGAAAGCGUGGGGAGCGAACAGGAUUAGAUACCCUGGUAGUCCACGCCGUAAACGUUGGGCGCUAGAUG
rnacentral:rRNA from 1 species